CUCAAAGGUGGCUGUUGGCUGUUCGAACCUGUGCAGGCGAAACGAAACCAUGCACAGCGAAGUGAUUAUAAGAAGAAUGAACAUUUUUGUGGAUCUUUAUGAUAUUCCGAGGGUCGGGUUAUUCCCAGUUUCUGAGUUUGGUAUUCAUCAAUGAAAGCAUAUCAGAAAAUUUUGAAGUUUGAAUGGGGAUGAGUUGUUGGAAAUGACGAAUCUAAGACAGCAUCUGUACAGAUUAUUACGUCAAGAAAGGCUUCACAUGUUACGUUCGCACGUUAUUUCGAAGAGGAAUGUUGGUUAUUAAAAAUCGCAGAUGGCAAAACUUUUUUAUAUUGUGGGCUGUGGCACGCGGAAGCUACUCAGACUAGGAAAGUUGUUAAACUUCGGAUUCCACAGAUUGAUUUCAGUGAG